AGAAUCAACGCUGGCGGCGUGCCUAACACAUGCAAGUCGAACGGUGACGGAGGAGCUUGCUCCUCCUGAUCAGUGGCGAACGGGUGAGUAACACGUGAGUAACCUGCCCCAGACUCUGGAAUAACCCCGGGAAACCGGAGCUAAUACCGGAUACGAGACGGAGUCGCAUGGCUACCGUCUGGAAAGUUUUUCGGUCUGGGAUGGACUCGCGGCCUAUCAUCUUGUUGGUGAGGUAACAGCUCACCAAGGCGACGACGGGUAGCCGGCCUGAGAGGGCGAUCGGCCACACUGGGACUGAGACACGGCCCAGACUCCUACGGGAGGCAGCAGUGGGGGAAUAUUGCACAAUGGGCGAAAGCCUGAUGCAGCGACGCCGCGUGAGGGAUGAAGGCCUUCGGGUUGUAAACCUCUUCAGCAGGGAGAAGCGAAAGUGACGGUACCUGCAGAAGAAGCACCGGCUAACUACGUGCCAGCAGCCGCGGU
rnacentral:rRNA from 1 species